rnacentral:lncRNA from 1 species
CCCGGGCCCGCCGACGGGGCCUGUGAGGUAGCCGCGCCCGGGGCCUGCUCGGGGGAAGUCGAGCCACAGCGAGGCCCAGAGAGAAGAGCAAGCCUCCCCUUUGCUUCCGGAAAAGAGAAAGUGGGUCUUGAGUUUCCUGGAAUUCUCCCUUCUCCCCUUAACUGUGAGAGACUAAGCAAAGGAACUUCAGCGUCAGCCAUGGUCAGGGACUGACAGGUGAGAAACGCCUGCAGGCUGAGGCUCAGCACCGAACAGGAAGAGGAGAAGUCCCCAGCCCCCUCCUUGAGCCGCUGUGGCCAGCAACCGUGAGGCGAGUGCUGCUACCCCGGCGCUGUUACACCUAGGGAGAAAGAUGACCUCUAAAUGUCCGCCGAGAGAGGAAUGGAUAAAGACGUGGUUGGCCCUCUUGUCAGUGAAAUUCAACCAUCCAGGAAGAAGGACUCAAAGGAAGCAAAACUACUGAAAGAGGUGACAGUGGUCUGUGGCAAGAGCACGCACAUCAGCAGUGAAAGGAAAAAGGAAAAACAAGUGAAAGGACACAGAAGCCCGAGGACCCCGAGCUCCCGCAUCUUGUGGGCGGACUGUGUACAGUGAGCCGUCAGGGAAUGCCGCCCACGGAAUGUCACAUCUUGCCCUCAGCAGGUCAGCCCCUUGUCUAUUUGCAAAAUUCUCAAUAAUUCCAUUAUCCAAUUACAGAAGGAAAUAAACAAUAUCGUCCAGAGGAAAUUAGUCAGACAUUUCCUGUUUUCCAGCUCAAUAAGAUCCAGGACUGUCAGCUGUAAAGUGAGGUGAACUUACUACAAAUGGAAGGAGUUGAACCACAGGCCUGAAGCAAGAUUUCUGAACACACCCUACAGAGCAGGUUAAACUACAAACGCCGAAGCAAGAAUAUGGGCCCCGUCCACCUCUCUUACUCUACGAGUCCUCUCCUCUGUGUAAACACCAGACUGCUUUAUACCCAUCAACGGAAAGC